UUUUCACAGGCCGUGUGAGCUCCAUUGUUUCGAUCAUGGUCGUCUACAUAAAAAGGGCAACUACGGAACGCCGUUUGAUCCACUUUUUAAUAGACAACUAUUUUUCGAUAGUUGUCCGUUUAUUUAGCAAAUAAAUAGAUAACUUGUACUUCCAUGUAGCGAUUUCGAUAGACGACACCUUCAAGGGAGGAGGAGUCUACAACAUAUUGAAUUUAUCGAUCAGCAUUGUAUAGUUAACAUGGCCUACUACAGUAACGGCCUAGAGGCUGGCUAUCCCUCCUGCGCCGAAUGGAUUCAGCCUUUCCCAUCCCCUUUCUCUGACUCAUCAUAGCCAGAGGGUAGAAAGUUAACUCAAAAUAUUCCACUUUCCAAAGCGGCUUUCCACCGUUUGAAACUUACAAUUCAAUCAGCACAAGAAGCAACGUCGUCAUCAUGGCUAAAUUAUUAGACUACGGAUUACUUUAUUCCCUAUAUCCAUUGUAAUGGUGCAGCACAACUGACCUGUACCAGUUGUUGCUUUGCUUCAUCAAGGACCAGAUUAUGGAUAUCCUUUCCUUAUGCAUGCUUGUAUCAUGAAGAGUCAUUCACCAAUACUACUUCUUGCUUUGAGUCUUCAUCUAUGCAAAGUACCAGUUUAUGGAUUUCCGUAUUCUUGAUUGUCAUUGUAGUGGUUGCACAGCUAGAGACUUCAUGAAGAGUCAUUCACCAAUACUACUUUCGGCUUUGAGUCUUCAUCUAUGGAUUGAUAGUAAAAUGAUGAAAAAGAUUUUGAAAGUGUUACGACCUUUUUAUUUCUGAAGUUUCAAGAUCUUUCUUUUGUUUGGUUUGUUGUAAACAAUUGGUUUGUUUUCAAGUCGUACACGACAUCUUUUUUCUUCAGUUCGCAAAAUGGCAAAAAAUAUUUUAUUGCAUAAAAACGUGCACAUGAAUGUGCUGUGUUUCCUGUCAGGAGAACAUUGGAAUUCUUGACAUUUCGCCAAACGCGGUACAACAAAAUCUGUUAGAUCAUCAACAAUUUGACUGCAGGUCCGUAUUUGCGGAAAUACUCUUCUGAAUAACUGGUAGAUCGUCCAUAUACGAUACGUUUUUGACAAGAUCGUUUUUAUUCCUUUCAGGGUUUUGACAUCCUUAGGUUUUCCAUGAAGUUCAGUAGGAGUAUUUUUAGCAUCCUUUUCUGUGAUGGAAUUGUUCAGUUGAGCGGAACUAAUAAUUGCAAUUAACUCUUCCUCGUCCAGAAAAUUAGCAUUUAGACAUUUCUUGCCAAAACGAACAAGAUCAAAUAUACCAGUUGGUAACGAUUUAUUCAAACGUUUAAGUUCAUCAAUUGCGAGAAAACAUCCCCGCAAAAAUAGAAUGUAAUGAUAUUUAUCAGAACGACAACACGAAUUGAAGGUAAAAAUACCUUUUUAAUGUGCUCCAUGGUGACAAGAGUUUCUAGGACAAAUGUGUUAACGACAGAAGUCGUUAGUGAUUAAAUGUAAUUUAAUUUUCGUUUUUUUUGUAUGUGUGUGUGUGUGUAUGUGUAAGUUUGCGUUAUAGCCGAGGGACAGACAAGUCUGAACUUGUCUGAACCUGGCUGAACUAACACUUUGUUUUUUGUAAAAGGUUACCCUCCCUUACACUUCCGCCACCCCAUUUACACCUAAAAGCUAAUUGUCACGUUAGCGCCCUUCGUUUGUUUUUCCCUCCCCUGCUUUUCCGCCGUAGUCGAUGACGGAGGAAAAUGCAGCAACAAGGUUAGUCUGAAUCGUUUUCGUGGUGGUAGCAGUCGCAACCUGUCGCCCCAACUUUCCCGUGUUGUAACCUCAUGUCGUGUUUAAAUACAUCGCAGCGUGGCCCUUUUGGCCACUGAGUUAGCCACAUCCCGUCUUCGUCGUUUUACUUCGGUGGUUAACAUUUUGGUGCAUCGACCGGGAAACUCAUCGUUCGUGUUUAUCUUCGCCAUUGCCUAUCCGUUCGCGUGGCCAUUCCUCCCUGGGUAUCCCGGCACAUCAUUUGAACACUUCAAUCAGGACUAAAACCGCUUCAACAUUCCGUGAAAGAAGAACUUCGCGGCGGCUAAGCUGAAGAAAAAGCUGAUCCGCAAAGGCAUUCGGCAGAAACGAUACCGUUUCCAGCAUAUGAAAGAUCGUGAACCUGCUUACCGAGAGACGGCAAGCGAAACAACAGCAAGACUCAUUGCUCAGAGGAAACCAACCAAAGACAUGCAAGCUGUUAUUCUUCCUGCUCCACAGUUGCUUACACCGGAGCUGCUUCCGAAAAUUCCAGCUUCUCUAAAAGUAGCUGAAUUUAUCCUGAGCUCAGCACCGAUAAAUCCGCCCAGCCCAUUCCGUCCGUCAGUGGAGCCGAUCGCUCCGCUACAAACAACUGACCCAACUCCGAGUCGCAUAAGGCUGGUCGCGGCUAGCGGAUUUUAUUUCCCCGCCAUCACCGAAGAAACCUCGUUUCUAUCGGCCAUAUAGUCCGCAACCAGUCGAGCAGCUUCCGGACCCCCAAACUCCUCCAGGUGUUCCAGAGUCGGAGCCGGACGACUUCAUCCCUAACCUUGCUGAUUGUGAAGUCAGAAGUGAGGUUGGAGAAACUGAGGAACCUGCACCUGCUGUACCAGAACAACCCGUUAGGAGCUGGAAAAUUCGUAACACAAGGACCCAGAUCGUUCGCACGGUAACCUCAAGACAGCUUUUCCGAAAAACUGACCAACGUCCUCGAAGAGAAUAAUUCAUUUAAAUAUUGUAUGUUAAUUUCCAUGCCGGUUUAACAAUAUAAAAGUGAAAUUGAA
rnacentral:lncRNA from 1 species